rnacentral:misc_RNA from 1 species
GAUGAAGAACGCAGCGAAAUGCGAUACGUAAUGUGAAUUGCAGAAUUCAGUGAAUCAUCGAGUCAUUGAACGCACAUUGCGCCCCCUGGUAUUCCGGGGGGCAUGCCUGUCCGAGCGUCAUUGCUGCCCUCAAGCACGGCUUGUGUGUUGGGCCUCCGUCCUCCUCCCGGGGGACGGGCCCGAAAGGCAGCGGCGGCACCGCGUCCGGUCCUCGAGCGUAUGGGGCUUCGUCACCCGCUCUUGUAGGCCCGGCCGGCGCUUGCCGACACAUCAAUCUUUUUUCCAGGUUGACCUCGGAUCAGGUAGGGAUACCCGCUGAACUUAAGCAUAUCAAUAAGCGGAGGA